rnacentral:rRNA from 1 species
CACGCUGUAAACGAUGAUUACUGGUUGUUUGCGAUACACGGCAAGUGACUGAGCGAAAGCAUUAAGUAAUCCACCUGGGGAGUACGUCGGCAACGAUGAAACUCAAAGGAAUUGACGGGGGCCCGCACAAGCGGAGGAACAUGUGGUUUAAUUCGAUGAUACGCGAGGAACCUUACCUGGGUUUAAAUGGGAAGUGACAGGCUUGGAAACAGGCCCUUCUUCGGACACGUUUCAAGGUGC